rnacentral:lncRNA from 1 species
CAGACCUUGUAAAAGAGAUUUACCUUCACUGUUUGGUUAUUCAAGUUUGUCCCUAUUGUUGUUUAGAGGUUUUGAAUUCUUGCUUCUCGCCGGAAAUUUUUCCGGCAACUCCUGCUAUUUUCUUUCUAUUCUCUCCUCUGCUUUUUUGUGGGUGUGUGUGGGUGUGUUCUGUUUUCUUGGACAGGUGACUAUUUUACCGUCUGCUUUUUUGUGGGUGUGUGUGGGUGUUACUGUUUUCUUGGACAGGUGACUAUUUUACCGGCGAGGAUUUCUGGCAAGCCACAGUACUCCCGGUGACUCCCGUCCAGACUCGCGGCAGGACGCAAUAGAACUACACGAAGCUUCAGGAAAACUUGGGCGCAUCAAAG